UUUUUUUUUGUGAUUCUCUUUCUCCUUCUUCGUCAUGGUUGGCAGGUACCCGAAGUACACAUAUGCCAAAUUACUAGGUUAUUGAUUACUUAAUAAUCGUAUUCUUUGUUUUGUUUAUGUUUCUGCUAUCACACAAAGAAAAUCAGAGUUGAAGAUUGCAUUUGUGAAUGAAGUUUGAUAGUUCGACGAAAUUUUCUGGCGAGAAGGUUUUUAAAAUUGAUGGUAAGUCCUUGUACCUUUCGAAGAUUUUAAAUUGUUUCCUUUCGUUACAGAAUUUUGGGCAAACAAAAAUUUGGUGAUCCUCACUUUCAGUGAUUCCACAAAGUGUGCAGAUGUCUGAGGCCUCGACUUUAAUGCGAUCUUUAUAUUACCAGGUGACAUCUUUGAGCCAGUGAACCAGUAAGACUUUGGUGGUGUGUUGAAGAAUUGUGAAAAAUGAUCAUAAAUUGCAGAGUAUGCGUCUGUAAUUGAAGCAUUGGUGGUAAUUAUACAGCCAGCUGUGGCUGCGUGUUUGGCGAAAUAAUCUGCGAGUUCGUUUGCUGGUAUACCAAUAUGCGAGGGAGUCCAUAUGAAAAUAAGAGAUUACCGCACAACCUGUACUACUGUCUGUGACUGAUGCAUCAGUUGACCAUAUGGAAUGACUCUGGUUUUUUAGACAGACUAGUUUUUCUUGAAGAAUUGCUCUAGAGAAUUCAUUGGACUUGGAGUGCUUUAGUGCCUUAAAGAGAUCAUCUAAAAAGCUUAUUUUCUUUGAAGGUAUCCUUUUUUGAUUUACCAUAGUUCGGUCAAGGAUGUGUUUAAAUUUGUUGUAGAUAAAACCCAAACUUGUUUUUACAGAGGAAUCUGUGGUGAUGCAGUUGUACAGCGUACUGUUAUACAUUUUGAAUUUUAUUAGUUCUUUAGCUGCAAGAUACUGAGAACGUUGUUCAGGAGGAAGCAUAACAGCCAGUGCAUAGAUGUUGUGUAUUGGUGUGGAAGGGGAUGUUACUAAUUGGCUUUCUUCAUUGGCUUCUGAUGUAUAUGGGCUUUGGUUGUUUGCUGAUGCUGGAAUGACUAUUUGUUGAAAUUUCUUUAAAACAUCAAGACCUUCUGUGCAGUUAAGAGACAAAAAUUUUGAUGAUCAAAUACUGCUUUGGUUGGAUUUACAUGGAUUGGGCUUGCAAUGGCAUGUUGAUUUUUCGUUAUUGGAGCCGCAACUUUGCUAUAUUUAAUACUUGUAAUUUUUUUGUUAAUUGCAUCAUGUAUAUUAAUUUUUGGAGUCCUGUUUGUUAAGAGAGGCGGGAACUCAUUAUUAAAAUCACGUUCAGAAAGAA